AUGUUGAUGACCUCCACUCUGCUGCAUGCCGUGCGCCCAGGCGAUUGGUUUACAUCAAUAGACCUGAAGGACGCAUAUUUUCACAUCCCUAUUUAUCCGCCUCACAGAAAAUUCCUGCGCUUUGCGUUUCAGGGCAGAAUGUACGAGUACCAGGUCCUGCCGUUUGGUCUCUCACUGAGCCCCCGGGUAUUUGUGAAGUGCACAGAGGCAGCCAUAGCCCCACUGAGGAGGCGGGGCAUCCGCAUAGCAACGUACAUAGACGAUUGGCUGCUGCUAUCAGAGUCAGAAAUAAUGGGAAGAGAGCACACCAGGUUGACAGUGGAUCAUCUGAUGGCUCUGGGUUCCACCAUAAACUACGAAAAGAGUGUCCUGCAGCCAGCUCAGGCCAUCUCUUUCAUAGGAAUAGCUCUAAACUCCGCCUCAUACAGAGCGUGUCUCUCUGUGGACAGAGUAAAAAAAAAUGCUAUCACAUGCCGGCAUUUUUCAGGUGGGAAGAUAUCUCCCAUUCAGAAAAUGCCUGCAGAUGCUGGGAUUAAUGGCGUCUUCACUGGCGGUCAUUCCACUAGGCAGACUGCAUAUGAGGGAAUUUCAGCGAUGGGUUGCAUCACUGAGACUGAAUCGAAAGCGCCAUACCCACCACCAUAUCAGAGUGACAGCAGACUGCGCUGCAGCACUCCACUGUUGGAGAAAUCCCACAUUUCUCACUCAGGGGGUGUCACUGGGGGCUGUCACAGCCAGAAAGGUGGUAACCACGGAUGCGAGUCUCACGGGCUGGGGUACCACUCACGAGGGCAGAGCAGUGAGCGGCAGCUGGGACUUACGACAGAGGGGUGCUCACAUAAACUGGCUAGAAUUGCUAGCAGCAUUUCUAGCACUGAUACACUUCCUUCCCCUGUUGAGAAACCACCAUGUUCUGAUCAGAACAGACAACACCACUGUUGUGGCAUACAUCAACAGACAGGGCGGGUUACGGUCCCGUCCUUUGCGGAUGCUGGCUCGCAGACUGAUCAUGUGGAGCACCAUCAAUCUGUUGUCACUGAGAGCUACUCACAUUCCAGGAGCUCUGAACUUGGGAGCAGACUUAAUGUCCAGGGGAAACCCGCAGUACGGGGACUGGACCCUGCACCCACAUGUGGUGACCCAAAUCUGGACCCGCUUUGGCCACCCACAGGUCGAUCUGUUUGCCUCGAGGGAGAACGCUCAGUGUCCACUGUAUUUCUCCCUGAAGGACCAGGGGGCUCCGCUAGGGGUAGACGCAUUAGCUCACAACUGGCCACAUGCUCUGCUUUAUGCGUUCCCUCCACUGGCCUUAAUUUCUCCCACUCUAACCAGAGUGAGAGAGAGAGGGCUAACAGUGAUAUUGAUCGCCCCAAGGUGGACGAGGUCCCAUUGGUUAGCGGAGAUUAUGCCCCUCUUGUGGAGCGAACCUUGGCCUCUCCCUCUCCGACGAGACCUAGUCUCCCAAGCCAGGGGGGAGAUUUUUCACCCUCACCCCGAGCGCCUCGCCCUGUGGGCUUGGCCCGUGAGAGGUUGAAUCUGAGUACGGCAGGACUCCCCCAGGGUGUUAUAGCCACUAUUCAGAGUGCUAGAGCCCCCUCCACUAGAUCAUUGUAUGAGAACAAAUGGAGAGUAUUUGAGGAAUGGUGUGGAAAGUCUCACACUCUCUCCUUUCAGUGCUCUGUGAAAACAAUUCUCUUCUUUCUCCAAGAACUGUUAGAUAAAGGAAAGGCCUUUUCCACGAUUAAAGUAUAUCUAGCAGCCAUUUCAGCCUGCCAUGUGGGCUUCGUGGAUGGCCCAGUGAGCCAUCACCCGCUAGUCUGCCGUUUCAUGAAAGGGGCACGACGGCUCCACCCGGUGUCUAAACCUCUCGUUCCCACGUGGGAUUUAUCCCUGGUGCUGGGGUCAGUUUCACAGCCACCAUUUGAACCGCUAGACCAGGUGGAAAUAAAAAUCCUGUCUUUGAAGACUGCAUUGCUCCUGGCUCUCGCAUCUGCGAAGCGUGUCAGUGAUAUUCAUGCACUGUCGAUACACAAAGAGUGCACCCGAUUCACGCGGGAUAACUCUAGAGUCACACUCAGGCCAAAUCCGGCCUUUGUGCCCAAAAAUCCUUAUCUCCAAUGCACCCCAUUGGAGCUGGAAGCUUUUUGCCCUCCUCCUUUCUCCUCCCCUGAACAGGAGCGCCUACAUGCUCUCUGUCCAGUUAGGGCUUUGUGUACCUAUAUAGAGAGAACGAAGGCUUUCAGGAGGUCGGAUCAGCUGUUUGUUUCCUGGGCUAAACCACAUCUUGGCAAGCCCGUUAGCAAACAACGCAUUUCCCACUGGAUUGUUGAGGCGAUCCAAUUGGCUUAUUCAAGCACGGGUCUGUCCCCCCCGGGGGGACUUCGUGCUCAUUCUGCUAGAGGGAUGGCAACCUCUUGGUCCCUUUUUAGGGGUGUCUCUAUAGAAGAGAUAUGUGCAGCGCCGAGCUGGGCUUCACCUUUGACCUUUACAAGGUUUUACAGGUUGGAUGUCACUGCACCAUCUCUAGCCCACACUGUGUUAAGUGUGGGUCCCCACGAGACCUCCUAA
rnacentral:lncRNA from 1 species